GCUGAUGUAGCUCAGCUGGUAGAGCAACGGUUUCGUAAACCGUAGGUCAGGGGUUCGAGUCCCCUCAUCAGCU
rnacentral:tRNA from 1 species